AGCAGCCGCGGUAAUUCCAGCUCCAAUAGCGUAUAUUAAAGUUGUUGCAGUUAAAAAGCUCGUAGUUGAAUUUCGGGGUCUGUCCGUCGGUCGGGCUUUACGGUCCGUACUGGUGUGAUGGGUUCCUACCUUCUGAAUAACCGGCAUGCCAUUCAGUUGGUGCGCCGGGGAAGCAGAGCUAUUACCUUGAAAAAAUUAGAGUGCUUAAAGCAGGCUAGUGCUUGAAUAGAUUAGCAUGGAAUAAUAAAAUAGGACGGCAUGGUUCUAUUUUGUUGGUUUCUAGGAUCACCGUAAUGAUUAAUAGGGAUAGUUGGGGGCAUUAGUAUUCAAUUGUCAGAGGUGAAAUUCUUGGAUUUAUUGAAGACUAACUUCUGCGAAAGCAUUUGCCAAGGAUGUUUUCAUUAAUCAAGAACGAAAGUUAGGGGAUCGAAGACGAUCAGAUACCGUCGUAGUCUUAACCAUAAACUAUGCCGACUAGGGAUCGGACGAUGUUAAUUUUUUAAUGACUCG
rnacentral:rRNA from 1 species